rnacentral:lncRNA from 1 species
CAAGAUAUAUGGACAGUAAUAUAAUGUAGGGGUACAGGCCAGCUGAACCGAUACACACAGUUGAGAGAAAUCAUGUUUCACAUGUUCACUUCAAACUGACCAGAACGCACUACAUAAGUAGGGACACACAUCUUAUUCAAGGUGUACAUAGAACACACUGGAACAGCCUAACAGGUAGGUUCAGAAUGGCCUCAGCGAGCUUCAACAGCUUGAUUCACACCUUCUGCCUUGACAAGCUUGUCCAGAUACUCCUGCCUGCAAGGAUGCCAUGAUUCCAUAAGGAACAGGUUGAACAGAAAGAACCGGGAUAGAGCCAUGAUGAUAAUGUAACUCGGGAUUUACCUCGCUGGCAGAUGAUCAUGGGGACGGUUGUACGGUGUCCAAACAGGCUCACCAACAAAGAGCCGCAUUGCCUGCAAAAACAUGCUUGUGAUCAUCAUAGUGGCAUCUUCUAUUAAUACAAUGAUACGCAGCUCUCCUGCGUGUUCGAGAAAAAAAAUCAUCAUAGUGGCAUGGCUCCAGUAACAGGAUUAUGAAGCUAAUCAUCUGACGCACCAAAUGAAGUGUAAAUCCUUUUUUUAAGAAAAUGAAGUGUAAAUCAUACAAAACUUAGAGAAAAGAUAAUGGAAGGUUUGUAGCCUCAGCUAAAUAAUGAACACCUGUAUGGUAUUAACAACAGCGCAAAUUUGCAGAAACUACUUGGUGAUGGUAACUUCUCAGGACCAUAUAUAAAUUUAUGUUAAUAGGAACCAAAGUUUAAAGAUGUGCAUGUGUCUUCUUUGCACAAGAUGCAGGUAUGAUUGUAUGUUUGCACAAAAAAUUGGAAAGCCAUACAUCAUAACAUGUUCUACAUCAAUGGUUUUCUUUUCGACACUAAUUUUUAGUUCACAAAACAAAAUGGGCCCAUGCAAAUUGAAGUCCACAAAUCUGUGUCAAUUUCAAAGAAUUUCAGAGCAGCCUCUGGUCAAUGACGACAAAUGGCAUGUGCAAAAUUCAUUUACUCACUGUUAUAUCUGAUGAAUGUGAUCCUAGCCCAGUAAGCUCAAUACUUUGUGUCACAUGCAGCAAGGUUUACAGGAGCCAGACAAGAGGCUAGGCCUGUGUCAGCCAUUUCUAUGGCUGCUAGGACCAAAACCUUAUCUAUUAGUCGCAUAAAACAUUCAAACCCCCACCACUUAUUCGGAGAUUCAUUUGUUGGGCCUCAUCAUUAUUCAAAGAGAGAAUUAUCUCUAGAUAGAUCAAGCAAGUUAUCUCAAACUCCUCUCUUCUCCUUCACUUCCCCACACACCACCUUCUCUCCCUGUGCAUCACACUUAUUCUACAGCAAUACCACCACUUCCAUCAUGGCUCCUGGCCAUCUUGCAUUCCAGGGCCGAGCCCACACACCAAUCACAAGUUCACAACUAAAGCUAUUAAGUCAAUAAAAACAGGGCAGCACAAGUGUCACAAGUACCUUGAUGUAGUUGUCUGUGUCCAAUGUGAAGCGGUGAUACAUCCCUGCAGGAAGAACAAUCAUGCCUCCUUUCUUCACUGCUACGCGAAUCCACUUAUCAUUUUCAUCCCUCACAUCAAAGUAUCCUAGAAACAUAAGAACAAAACAUGUAACUAUAUAGAAAAAGAUGUCCUUUUCAUUUUUGCACACAUACCAAAGAUAUCAUGUUUCUUAAAAUGUUGACAUAGUGAUACAAACAAACGUAACAAGACAUACCACUCCCUUCAAGGCAAUAGCGUAUCUCUUCAUCAGUAUGCAGGUGCUCUUCAAAGAAAUUCUUUAUCUUAGCCUCAUAAUUUGGCAGCUUCUCUGGGCAUACAUCACA